rnacentral:rRNA from 1 species
AACGAACGCUGGCGGCAGGCUUAACACAUGCAAGUCGAACGCGUCCUUCGGGACGAGUGGCAGACGGGUGAGUAACGCGUGGGAACCUACCUUUUGGUACGGAAUAACUCAGGGAAACUUGAGCUAAUACCGUAUGUGCCCUGUCCUUUAACGGGAUUUGGGGAAAGAUUUAUCGCCAAAGGAUGGGCCCGCGUCGGAUUAGCUAGUUGGUGGGGUAAUGGCCUACCAAGGCGACGAUCCGUAGCUGGUAUGAGAGGAUGAUCAGCCACACUGGGACUGAGACACGGCCCAGACUCCUACGGGAGGCAGCAGUGGGGAAUAUUGGACAAUGGGCGCAAGCCUGAUGCAGCGACGCCGCGUGAAGGAUGAAGGUCUUCGGAUUGUAAACUUCUAUCAGCAGGGGAGAUAAUGACGGUACCUGACUAAGAAGCCCCGGCUAACUACGUGCCAGCCGCCGCUGUAACAC